GACGAACGCUGGCGGCGUGCUUAACACAUGCAAGUCGAGCGGUAAGGCCUUUCGGGGUACACGAGCGGCGAACGGGUGAGUAACACGUGGGUGAUCUGCCCUGCACUUCGGGAUAAGCCUGGGAAAAUGGGUCUAAUACCGGAUAUGACCUCCUAUCGCAUGGUGGGUGGUGGCAAGAUUUAUCGGUGCAGGAUGGGCCCGCGGCCUAUGAGCUUGGUGGUGGGGUAAUGGCCUACCAAGGCGACGACGGGUAGCCCACCUGAGAGGGUGAGCGGCCACAAUGGGCCUAGGAGAGGGCCCAGAGGGGUACGGGGGGCAACGGGGGGGAGUAUUGCACAACGGGCGCACGCCGGAUGAAGCGACGCCGGGUGAGGGAAGACGGCUUUCUGGUAGUAAACCUCAUUCAGCUGGGACGAAGCGAAAGUGACGGUACCUGAAGAAGAAGCACCGGCUAACUACGUG
rnacentral:rRNA from 1 species